GACGAACGCUGGCGGCGUGCUUAACACAUGCAAGUCGAACGGAAAGGCCCUGCUUUUGUGGGGUGCUCGAGUGGCGAACGGGUGAGUAACACGUGAGUAACCUGCCCUUGACUUUGGGAUAACUUCAGGAAACUGGGGCUAAUACCGGAUAGGAGCUCCUGCUGCAUGGCGGGGGUUGGAAAGUUUCGGCGGUUGGGGAUGGACUCGCGGCUUAUCAGCUUGUUGGUGGGGUAGUGGCUUACCAAGGCUUUGACGGGUAGCCGGCCUGAGAGGGUGACCGGCCACAUUGGGACUGAGAUACGGCCCAGACUCCUACGGGAGGCAGCAGUGGGGAAUAUUGCACAAUGGGCGGAAGCCGGAUGCAGCAACGCCGCGUGCGGGAUGACGGCCUUCGGGUUGUAAACCGCUUUCGCCUGUGACGAAGCGUGAGUGACGGUAAUGGGGAAAGAAGCACCGGCUAACUACGU
rnacentral:rRNA from 1 species